ensembl:lncRNA
UCUCAACCUCACACAGGAAAGGACGCUAUCAUGUUCCUUCCAGAACUCUUUAGGGUUAAAUCUGCAUCUCAGACUAUCGGAAAGCACAAGCAGCCAGCAUUCGAGUGGUAACUCAAGAUUUUGCUCGGAUUGAACGCAGGACCUUUGCUCUGUUAUAAACCUAGCCUGUUCUAUAUUUUAAAACAAGGAAUCAGUAAGCUGCUACGUUAUCCAGGCUGGUAUGAACUUGUGAUCCUCCUGCCUCGGGCUCUCAGAGUGCACCACAACCAACUAGAGAUCCAAGAGAGCUGCGGCAGCGGUGCUCGCCGGAUGCAUCCAGAUAAGACCAGCUAGUAAUGACGCUUGAGCUGCGCGCGCCGGGGCUCUGCAACAGGCUGCAUGGGUUACAAGCCACUGUCAUCCUCCCGCUUCCCGUGCCGACAGCGGCUCCACAGGCAG